CAGCCGCCGCGGUAAUACGAAGGGUGCAAGCGUUACUCGGAAUUACUGGGCGUAAAGCGUGCGUAGGUGGUGGUUUAAGUCCGUUGUGAAAGCCCUGGGCUCAACCUGGGAAUUGCAGUGGAUACUGGGUCACUAGAGUGUGGUAGAGGAUAGUGGAAUUUCCGGUGUAGCAGUGAAAUGCGUAGAGAUCGGAAGGAACAUCUGUGGCGAAGGCGACUAUCUGGGCCAACACUGACACUGAGGCACGAAAGCGUGGGGAGCAAACAGGAUUAGAGACCCCCGUAGUCCCUGUCUCUUAUAA
rnacentral:rRNA from 1 species